rnacentral:rRNA from 1 species
CCUACGGGAGGCAGCAGUGAGGAAUAUUGGUCAAUGGGCGGAAGCCUGAACGAGCCAAGCCGCGUGAAGGAAGAAGGCGCCAGGCGUCGUAAACUUCGUUUGUCGGGGAACACAGGGCGCAACGUGUGGCGUUCUGAGUGUACCCGAAGAAAAAGCAUCGGCUACCUCCGUGCCAGCAGCCGCGGUAAUACGGAGGAUGCGAGCGUUAUCCGGAUUUAUUGGGUGUAAAGGGUGCAUAGGCGGUUCGGAAAGUCAGCGGUAAAAGGCCGGGGCUCAACCCCGGCGAGCCGUUGAAACUGUCGGACUAGAGUGGGCGAGAAGUACGCGGAAUGCGAGGUGUAGCGGUGAAAUGCAUAGAUAUCGCGCAGAACUCCGAUGGCGAAGGCAGCUUACCGGUGCCGGACUGACGCUGAGGCACGAAAGCGUGGGUAUCGAACAGGAUUAGAUACCCGUGUAGUC